GACGAACGCUGGCGGCGUGCUUAACACAUGCAAGUCGAACGGAAAGGCCCUGCUUUUGUGGGGUUCUCGAGUGGCGAACGGGUGAGUAACACGUGAGUAACCUGCCCUUGACUUUGUGAUAACUUCAGGAAACUGGGGCUAAUACCGGAUAGGAGCUCCUGCUGCAUGGUGGGGGUUGGAAAGUUUCGGCGGUUGGGGAUGGACUCGCGGCUUAUCAGCUUGUUGGUGUGGUAGUGGCUUACCAAGGUUUUGAAGGGUAGCCGGCAUGAGAGGGUUAACGGCCACAAUGGGACUGAGAGACGGACCAGAAUCGUACGGGAGGCAGAAGUGGGGAAUAUUGCACAAUGGGCGGAAGCGUGAUGCAGAAACGCCGCGUGCGGGAUGACGGCCUUCGGGUUGUAAACAGCUUUCGCAUGUGACGAAGAGUGAGUGACGGUAAUGGGUAAAGAAGCACCGGCUAACUACGUG
rnacentral:rRNA from 1 species